rnacentral:piRNA from 5 species
UUCUCGCCUGCCACGCGGGAGGCCCGG